rnacentral:misc_RNA from 1 species
AAGUCGUAACAAGGUUUCCGUAGGUGAACCUGCGGAAGGAUCAUUAUUGAACCUCACAGGAGAAAGGUUGUGCUGGCCUCUCGAGGCAUGUGCACGCUUUGAUCCAAUUAUUACACCCCUGUGCACACAUUGUAGGAGAAGUGGAUAACACUUCUUCUAUGUUUCACACACCCCAUUGUAUGUAUGAAGACUGUCCAUUAUUCGUAUGAAUAAAAAAUAAUACAACUUUCAACAACGGAUCUCUUGGCUCUC